rnacentral:rRNA from 1 species
GUAGGGUGCGAGCGUUAAUCGGAAUUACUGGGCGUAAAGCGCACGUAGGCGGCUUUGUAAGUCAGAGGUGAAAGCCUGGAGCUCAACUCCAGAACUGCCUUUGUGACUGCAUCGCUUGAAUCCAGGAGAGGUGAGUGGAAUUCCGAGUGUAGGGGUGAAAUUCGUAGAUAUUCGGAAGAACACCAGUGGCGAAGGCGGCUCACUGGACUGGUAUUGACGCUGAGCUGCGAAAGCGUGGGGAGCAAACAGGAUUAGAUACCCUGGUAGUCCACGCCGUAAACGAUGAUAACUAGCUGUCUGGGUACUUGGUACUUAGGUGGCGCASSUAACGCAUUAAGUUAUCCGCCUGGGGAGUACGGCCGCAAGGUUA